rnacentral:misc_RNA from 1 species
GAUGAAGAACGUAGCGAAAUGCGAUAAGUAAUGUGAAUUGCAGAAUUCAGUGAAUCAUCGAAUCUUUGAACGCACAUUGCGCCCGCCAGUAUUCUGGCGGGCAUGCCUGUCUGAGCGUCAUUUCAACCCUCAUGCCCCUAGGGCGUGGUGUUGGGGAUCGGCCAAAGCCCGCGAGGGACGGCCGGCCCCUAAAUCUAGUGGCGGACCCGUCGUGGCCUCCUCUGCGAAGUAGUGAUAUUCCGCAUCGGAGAGCGACGAGCCACUGCCGUUAAACCCCCAACUUUCCAAGGUUGACCUCAGAUCAGGUAGGAAUACCCGCUGAACUUAAGCAUAUCAAUAAGCGGAGGA